rnacentral:rRNA from 1 species
AUGAACGCUAGCGACAGGCUUAACACAUGCAAGUCGAGGGGCAGCACAGGUAGCAAUACCGGGUGGCGACCGGCGCACGGGUGAGUAACGCGUAUGCAACUUACCUAUCAGAGGGGGAUAACCCGGCGAAAGUCGGACUAAUACCGCAUGAAGCAGGGGCCCCGCAUGGGGAUAUUUGCUAAAGAUUCAUCGCUGAUAGAUAGGCAUGCGUUCCAUUAGGCAGUUGGCGGGGUAACGGCCCACCAAACCGACGAUGGAUAGGGGUUCUGAGAGGAAGGUCCCCCACAUUGGUACUGAGACACGGACCAAACUCCUACGGGAGGCAGCAGUGAGGAAUAUUGGUCAAUGGGCGUAAGCCUGAACCAGCCAAGUCGCGUGAGGGAUGAAGGUUCUAUGGAUCGUAAACCUCUUUUAUAAGGGAAUAAAGUGCGGGACGUGUCCCGUUUUGUAUGUACCUUAUGAAUAAGGAUCGGCUAACUCCGUGCCAGCAGCCGCGGUAAUACGGAGGAUCCGAGCGUUAUCCGGAUUUAUUGGGUUUAAAGGGUGCGUAGGCGGCCUUUUAAGUCAGCGGUGAAAGUCUGUGGCUCAACCAUAGAAUUGCCGUUGAAACUGGGGGGCUUGAGUAUGUUUGAGGCAGGCGGAAUGCGUGGUGUAGCGGUGAAAUGCUUAGAUAUCACGCAGAACCCCGAUUGCGAAGGCAGCCUGCCAAGCCAUGACUGACGCUGAUGCACGAAAGCGUGGGGAUCAAACAGGAUUAGAUACCCUGGUAGUCCACGCAGUAAACGAUGAUCACUAGCUGUUUGCGAUACAGUGUAAGCGGCACAGCGAAAGCGUUAAGUGAUCCACCUGGGGAGUACGCCGGCAACGGUGAAACUCAAAGGAAUUGACGGGGGCCCGCACAAGCGGAGGAACAUGUGGUUUAAUUCGAUGAUACGCGAGGAACCUUACCCGGGUUUGAACGCAUUCGGACCGAGGUGGAAACACCUUUUCUAGCAAUAGCCGUUUGCGAGGUGCUGCAUGGUUGUCGUCAGCUCGUGCCGUGAGGUGUCGGCUUAAGUGCCAUAACGAGCGCAACCCUUGCCACUAGUUACUAACAGGUAAAGCUGAGGACUCUGGUGGGACUGCCAGCGUAAGCUGCGAGGAAGGCGGGGAUGACGUCAAAUCAGCACGGCCCUUACAUCCGGGGCGACACACGUGUUACAAUGGCGUGGACAAAGGGAAGCCACCUGGCGACAGGGAGCGAAUCCCCAAACCACGUCUCAGUUCGGAUCGGAGUCUGCAACCCGACUCCGUGAAGCUGGAUUCGCUAGUAAUCGCGCAUCAGCCAUGGCGCGGUGAAUACGUUCCCGGGCCUUGUACACACCGCCCGUCAAGCCAUGGGAGCCGGGGGUACCUGAAGUCCGUAACCGCGAGGAUCGGCCUAGGGUAAAACUGGUGACUGGGGCU